AUGAAGUUUCCUGUUGUGCUGUUGGUGCUGCUGGUGUUCAGGAUUCCUGCUUCCAGAUGUGAUAUUGUGAUGACCCAAAGUCCACUGUCCCUGCAUGUCAGCCUUGGUGAUCAAGUUUCUAUCUCUUGCAAGUCUAGCCAGAGUGUCCUCUAUAGUAAUGGAAACACUUAUUUGAAAUGGUACCUGCAGAAGCCAGGCCAGUCUCCACAGCUCCUCAUCUAUGAGAUUUCCAACCGAUUUUCUGGGGUCCCAGACAGGUUCAGUGGCAGUGGGUCAGACACAGAUUUCACACUCAAGAUCAGCAGAGUUGAGCCUGAAGAUCUGGGAGUUUAUUUUUGUCUCCAAGCUUCUUAUUUUCCUCCCACAGUGAUUCAGACCUUAACAAAAACUUCCUUUCUUGGGGUAACCCAGCUGCCAAAUAAGUUAUUUUUCUGUGUGAGAGAGAGAAUGGUGCUGAGAAACCUUAUUAUUUGCAGCUGA